AGCUCUGUAGUUUAAAAGAAAUUUUUAUUUGUGGUAUAAAAGAUUGGGGGGCUAUA
rnacentral:tRNA from 1 species